rnacentral:misc_RNA from 1 species
AUCAACAUUGUCUAUCGAAACCGCUUGGUCAGAACUGGUUACAAGGCUGGCAAUCUCAAAUCUGCAAUGAGCUGCGAUUAUGUUAAGAAUUACGAAUUUGUUGCUAUACUCGAUGCUGACUUCCAACCUAACCCUGAUUUCCUAAAGCUUACAAUUCCACAUUUUAAGGGAAAUCCAGAGCUUGGAUUGGUUCAAGCGCGUUGGAGUUUCGUGAAUAAAGAUGAGAACUUGCUAACUCGACUCCAAAACAUCAACCUAUGCUUUCACUUUGAAGUCGAGCAACAAGUGAAUGGCGUCUUCCUCAACUUCUUCGGUUUUAAUGGGACGGCG